CAGGAACUCUGGGAAAUCAAUUGUGCCGUUUCCAUCUGCAUCAACCUCGUUGAUCAUGUCCUGAAGCUCAGCCUCUGUUGGGUUUUGUCCUAGUGAACGCAUCACUGUUCCCAGCUCUUUGGUUGUGAUGCAACCUGUGCCACAAUUAAGAGAGUAUUACAUUUUAGAACACAUCACAGAUACAUACACAAGGAUCAUUUCUCACCUAUAAGCAAAAGCACAUGAACCUAUUUUCGCUAAUCUCUCAAAGUAUACAUGAGCAAACAAAUCUUCACAAAAUUGCACUUUAAGCUUCAAGAAAUCUACACAGUUGAUGAAUAAGUGUGCAGAGUGAUAUUUUGAGGCAACUGAAGAAUAAUUUUCAACUUCGUUUUAAGGUCUUGAUGUUCAGAUUGUUCUCUUGAUUAUCGAGUUCAAAGAACAUUACAUUUUAGAACCCACCACAAACACUCAAGGCUCAAUGGGAAUCAAAGAUGAACCAGUUUUUGCUAAUCUCAUAAAACUGCACUUUAAGCUUGAUUACAUCUUUAAUGAGACAAGUCAAGAAUCAUUUCAAAACAAUUUAUGAAUCUGGUUUAAAUCAAACUCCUAGCUCAAAGAGCACAAAGCCUUGAUCAACAAGCCAAAGACAAAUCAAGAAGAACCAUCAAAGCUUCUAAAAGAUACAAAAUCACACAUUAUUCAUCAACAAAGAGCAAACUCGAUGAAUGAUCAAACAAUCAUAGCAGAUGUAAAUAAAUUACAAAAGAUUCAAAGACCAAAAAUGUGUGAAACGAAAAAAAAAAAAAAAAAAACUCAGAUCCAAGCUAACAAAUCAACGAAACAGGACAACAAGGAGACGAUUCAAUCAGAAACGAAAAGCCAGAGAAGAUCGAAAAAGCGAAAAAUAAUCGGUCAAAGAUCAAAAACACAACGAACGAAAGAAUACGAACAGGUUGAUAAAUCUGAAUCUAAAGCGAUUAGCGAAACAUGAACACAUAUUCAAAGCUCGAGAGGACGAGAUACAGCGUUCUAAAGCAUCGAUUGAAGACGAAAAAGGAAAAUGCGAGAUCUGUUUGGAGAGACUAACCAUCGCCAUCUUUGUCGAAGAGGCUAAAAGCUUCCUUGAAUUCGGAGAUCUGUUCGUCAGUGAGUUGAUCCGCCAUAGCUUCUUCGAGAAAUCGUCUUUCUUCUCUCUUUGAUUUUUUUUGGGAUUCAGAGUCGUCUCUCUU
rnacentral:lncRNA from 1 species